UGACGGUAUAUAAUCGACGCUUUGGUACUUGCACAAUUUUGGCCGAGGUAUCAAAGUAGGAAGGCAUGUGCUGAUGCUGAACAGAGGCAGGCAUGGACGUGGUUGAAUACUGAGGAGGUUGACCUGUAAACGAAGCAGUUCCGGCCAUGCGGAAGGUAUCCGCGUGGUACUGCACGGAUUGCAGCAAGGGAAAUCGUUGUCCUGGAGGUGGUAGGUUGUCCAACGAAGCAUUUGCAGAAAUCGGCAUUGGUCCCGCACUUCAUGGAGAUCCGAAAGAGGCUCGAAAACGUCCGGUGAAAUCAGCAUAAUCGUCAAGUGAGAGGCAUCGUUUUGCAGUCCUGGCGGGCGUACACCACCCACAACACGAUGCAUGUCGAUCACAAAAUCCGGCAUUAGGCGCUGGGCUGAAGUCAUUGUUUGAAUGCUGUGUCCAUGUAAUACACGCGAAAAUAACUGACGCGGAGGUCGCGGACACAGUAAAACGGCGAAAGCGGAAGAUGUUACAACUCGGGGUCACCAGUGAGGGAGAUGUUCGGGUUAGUUACACCAAACAACCCCCAUUUCGCAGUAGUUCAUUUAUUCACCCAAGCACAAGCAAGGCUCACAAAGAACUGGACAUGGCGGAAGAGGCCAAAGAUAAUCUUAGCUUAGUUCAAAGGUGGAUGCAUAGGUGUUGGUGUUGAUUUCAUCGGCGCCACAGUAUUAUUUCCACUGUAUGUGACCGAGACACCACAAAAACUUCUUAUUUUAGUUAUUUCCAUGCAUUAUUGCCAUAUGGCAUAGUCCAGCCUAGACAUUCUUGUAGGAACCUUUUCAAAAAAUUAGGGAUACUGACAACUGCAUGCCAAUAUAUCUACUCCCUGUUAUGUUUCAUUGGUAAACAUGGACAAUCGUACAAAAGCAAUGAUUCAUACGAAACCCUCAAUACCAGGAGGAAGAUGGACCUCCAUUAUGAAUACAAAACCUUACUAUUGUACAAAAAGGAGUCCAUUACAUGAGCUGCAAGGUGUUCAAUUGUCUCCCACCAUCACUGAAAUUACUUAUCCACGAGCUUCCCAAAUUUAAA